rnacentral:rRNA from 1 species
UUUGCCGGCAGCUAGCUCUGUGCAACUCUCACAUUGUCAUCUACUGAAGCCAAGCAGGGCUGUGCCCAGUCAGUACCUGGAUGGGAGACAACAUGUGAAAACUAGGUUGCUGCCAAAA